GUGCCAGCAGCCGCGGUAAUACGAAGGGAGCUAGCGUUGUUCGGAAUCACUGGGCGUAAAGCGCACGUAGGCGGACUUGUCAGUCAGGGGUGAAAUCCCGGGGCUCAACCUCGGAACUGCCUCUGAUACAGCAAGUCUUGAGUCCGGAAGAGGUGGGUGGAAUUCCUAGUGUAGAGGUGAAAUUCGUAGAUAUUAGGAAGAACACCGGUGGCGAAGGCGGCCCACUGGUCCGGUACUGACGCUGAGGUGCGAAAGCGUGGGGAGCAAACAGGAUUAGAUACCCCGGUAGUCC
rnacentral:rRNA from 1 species